rnacentral:rRNA from 1 species
GACGAACGCUGGCGGCGUGCUUAACACAUGCAAGUCGAACGAAGAGCGAUGGAAGCUUGCUUCUAUCAAUCUUAGUGGCGAACGGGUGAGUAACGCGUAAUCAACCUGCCCUUCAGGGGGGGACAACAGUUGGAAACGACUGCUAAUACCGCAUACGAUCUAACCUCGGCAUCGAGGAAAGAUGAAAGGUUGCCUCUAUGUAUAAGCUAUCACUGAAGGUGUGGUUUGCGUCUGAUUAUCUAGUUGGUGGGGUAACGGCCCACCAAGGCGAUGAUCAGUAGCCGGUCUGAGAGGAUGAACGGCCACAUUGGGACUGAGACACGGCCCAGACUACUACGGGAGGCAGCAGUGGGGAAUCUUCCGCAAUGGACGAAAGUCUGACGGAGCAACGCCGCGUGAGUGAUGACGGCCUUCGGGUUGUAAAGCUCUGUUAAUCGGGACGAAAGGCCUUCUUGCGAAUAGUGAGAAGGAUUGACGGUACCGGAAUAGAAAGCCACGGCUAACUACGUG